ensembl:lncRNA
AUGAAAUAUGGAGCUUCAGAGGCUUUAGGUUUGCACUGCAUCCUGUGUUAUAUUUUGUGUCUCCACUUUGCAGGACUUACUGGCUACCCUCUUGCCAAGAGGAUUUCUCUGGCAAAUCCCUCUAUGCUCCUGCCCUCCAAGCCAUUGCCUCCUAUCCCGAAGAGCUCUUCCAAGACAAGCAAGAUGUGCAGCGGAGAGCAAGGGACUGGGAAAAGUGGCACUGGCUAUGACAAUGACGACAGCAGAAAAAUCCAGGAGCUGAGUUCAGAGGGAAAAGGAUGUAAGGCUUCCUUGCUGUAUCCCACUGCAGGGGAUAAGAAGAAGGAAUCACUGGGACUGCCUUUGAUCCCCCCGAUACGCAGGGCAGUAAGUCCCGAUGUUGGCAGUGCUGCAGGGUCUCUGCAAAGCUCUCUGCAGCUGGAUGUGCAAGAGUCCCAGGAGAUGAGGCCCAGAUCCACCAGGAGAAGCAAAGAUGACAACUCUGAAGAAGGAGGGCUGACUAGGUUCAUUUUUUCCAAAUCUUUCCGGCGAUCUCCUUCUAUGCUCCUUGCCUCCGCUCUGUUUCCUCCCAGCUGGAAAACCUCUCAGUCUUCCAACAGAAGAGAAAUGUGCAGCGUUGAGAAGGAGAGUGGGAAAAAUGGCAGUGGCUAUGAGGAAGACACCAGAGAAAGAGAGGAGCUGAAGUCAAAAGGAAAAAGGUUGUAAGGCUUCCUUGCUGUAUCCCACUGAAGGGGAUAAGAAGAAGGAAUCACUGGGACUGCCUUUGAUCCCCCCGAUACGCAGGGCAGUAAGUCCCGAUGUUGGCAGUGCUGCAGGGUCUCUGCAAAGCUCUCUGCAGCUGGAUGUGCAAGAGUCCCAGGAGAUGAGGUAAGCCAAGGUGUCUGCUGCUCCAGUGUGCUGUUCACCUCGCUCUUCCCAUCUCGUGAGGUUAUUUUGCACAGUCAGCUCUCCCAUGUAUUUAGGCAAACCUCUGUGUAUUCAGCAUUUGGCCCUAUCUGUGGUGAUCCAGCCCAAUGUCAAACCCAGCACCAUAUGGCCCAAGAGCAGAGGUGGUGGUGGGGAAGAGGAGGCAGGGCUGAAAAGCUCCUCAAGACAGGUCCUCUUCUGGACCUGGCUGUUGAUUCCCUCUGUAAUGUUUGUGGUGUCAUUUGGGAACUGUAUUGCAUGGGUCUGGAUGCUGCAGAUCUUUGAGUACUGUGACCCUUCACUGUCAACUUCUGCAGCCACAAGAAUAUGAUUGGACAAAUAUUGGCAAAUAUGGAGGUGUACGCAAAUUCCUGUUCUGAUUCUUGUACUUUUAUAGUCAUGUGCUGUAGUUUAUUUGCCAGCACUUAUAUUUUGAGAAGAAAAAUAUACUGACAGCACCCAACGCAGAACUAAGUGGGGGUUACGGAAACAAGGGUGAUGAAAACUAGCUUUGGGAAGCAAUUACUUCCUAGAUGUAACUGUCAAAUUCUGGAUACCAUUAUGUGUUGCCAUCUGUUUUGUGCAUGGGCCUCCACUUAGAAAUGAGUUCCCAGAGAUGUUAUGAGAUAGAGCUGCAUAACCCAUGUGAUGUUUAAUAUUUCAGUCUGGGCUUAAGAUCAAAAAGAGCAAGGUGCUGGAGAAGAGGUAUAGGACUGUAGCUGAUGGAAAGAUAUUAGCUUGGAGAAGUGUGAGAAAAUGUAGCUGUCAUGCUUGACUGAGUGAUAACGAUAAAGAAGGAGUCUCAGAAGUAUCACUCACAUUGAAAAUCUUCUAUAAGGCUUUUAAAGUGCAGUGUAAAUAUCCUGUCCAUAGCCGCUGUGUGUGAAAAAGCCUAGUUUUUCUGGAAAGAUCAAGGAGAUGUAAUAUUAUUCUCAGGAGACAGCAGUGCUCUGACCACAUGGAGCACGAGUCUGUCACCAGUGUAAGGCACAAGCAGGCAAAGUCAAGCUUUGCAGCAGUACAAAAGGAGCUGCCCUCCAUAGAGACUCGUGUCUCAGCUCAGCAGCUCUUGCUGCUUCAGAGGGGCUGUAGGAGCCACUUGGCUCCAAAAGGAGAGACAGCAGAACUGGGGGGUUAUGAUGCAAGUUGAAGAAUGACUGCUGUGUUUCAGCCGGAGCUUGGCCAGCUCUGUCUGACUCCAGCAACUGAGAGCUUAAGGACAAUGAAUCAGCUUUGCAUCUUGUUUAGUUUCUGUGUUGCAUUUCCUCCUUCAUCCCAGUGACCAUGCUAAGAAGGUUUGCUUCCUUUCAUGCUUCACACAUUCCCUCCCUUCUCUUUCUUCCUCCUCAUCUGUUCUUUUGUCUUCCAUUUCCUCAAGGUCCACACCCAGCAGCAGAAGCGAAGAUGAUGACUCUGAAGAAGGAGGUUGGUACAGGGCAUGUCUGUCGUCAAAUGACCAUUGGAAUUUUGACACAGAAUUUGUAUUUUGAAUGGUUGGUUAAAAAUAAUUCUCUUCAAAAAUUCUUCAAAUUGAUAUCAAUGCAUUGAUGUGCUCAGUGGACUCCUGAAGAGCCCAAUCACUGGGAGUGUGCUGUGGUCGUGCAGUGAAAAUUCCUCCAGUGUGAGGUGUUGUGUGGCUGAGCUGGAGUGGUACCUUGGGCCCCUGGAAAUGCAGCACAGGAAAAGGAAACAUUCCUCUCCAUCCAGCACUUGCCCUUCAUCUCCCUGCAGCCUUUCCAGUGUCACAGUUAGUAGAGAAUAAGCAGGCAUUUAUCAUGAAAUGGGAAAUGUUCCCAGUCCUUCGUCCUGCCCUUGAAGGAGAAAACCUUUCCUUGCAGCAGUUUCUGAGAUGAACCCUUUGAGAUCUGAAGGAGAUCCAUGGACAUUGCCUGGUUCUGCACUGGGAGAAAUAGGGAAACCUCCUCUGAGGGAAAGUCCUUGUGAAAUUUCCGAUUAAGGAGAAGGAGGUUUCCAAAUGGAUGCAGCCUAUGCAGGGUCUGAGUUUGUCAUCCUCUGAGAGCACAAGCCCAAAGCCACCUAUGGCAGGUUCACCAUGACAAAUCUCUUCCCCAACUCUCUCUGCCUGGGUCAGUGCUGCAGGCUGAGGCUGCAGGAGGAGAUGCCUUCUGCCUUGUCCCUCCCUCCCUGCCUUACCUGAUCCCUGACAAGUAGAAUUGUGCCAGACAAAAUGCAGUCUCUGGUGCAUCUGUGUCAGCCAGUGCUUUCAAGUUGAAAGCCUCAAUGAAAGUCUGUUGUUGUUCCUUUGCCAUCUCUGGGCAUUUACUGAUAGGAGAGAUGAGACUUGAAGACAUAAUUUUGCUGCUGCAGGAAAAGGGAUCAGAUGUCCUGGUCCCUUUGCUCAGGGUUUGUUCUGCCAAAUCCUGGGUACAGCCCCUUUGGAAAGACUCCUUAAUUGCUGAUAUGCAGCUGCAAUGCUGAAUGCAGUUGAGGAGAAUUACUGCUCAGUAUUGCUCAGGUGACAUUUUUGCUGGAUUAAUUCUGGCCUAGAAAUUACCUAUCUCAUCAAAGGUUGUCAGAUGCUCUUUUGUAAAUGAUGUCACCAUUGUACUGGGAUAAAGAAACACAGAUUUUAUCCGUGUCUUCUUUUUAUGCUCUACACUCUGCUGUUUGCAUUUAGGAAAUUCUUAAUGGUUUUUAACUGCCAUGGUCAGAAAUGUUUUGUUGCAGGUGAUCUUUGUGUUGGUAUUAGGCAGGAAAGCAAGCAGGGAAUAAACCCCAGGGGCAGGGAAUCA